rnacentral:rRNA from 1 species
ACGGAGGGAGCUAGCGUUGUUCGGAAUUACUGGGCGUAAAGGGCGCGUAGGCGGUUGUGUAAGUCAGAUGUGAAAACCAUCGGCUUAACCGAUUGGAGUGCAUUUGAUACUGCAUAACUUGAGUUCAGGAGGAGAGAGUGGGAUUCCCAGUGGAGCGGUUGAAUGGGUAGAUAUUGGGAAGAACCCCAGUGGCGAAGGCGGCUUUCUGGGCUGACACUGACGCUGAGGCGCGAAAGCUAGGGGAGCGAACAG